AACGCACGAGACCUGCGGACCUGCGGAAGGAUCAUUACAGAGUUUACAACUCCCAAACCCUUAUGUGAACAUACCAAGAUGUUGCUUCGGCGGACUCGCCCCGGCGUCCGGACGGCCUAGCGCCGCCCGCGGCCCGGACUCAGGCGGCCGCCGGAGACCACCAAACUCUUUUGUAUCAUGAGUAUCUUCUGAAUCCGCCGCAAGGCAAAACAAAUGAAUCAAAACUUUUAACAACGGAUC
rnacentral:misc_RNA from 1 species